AAACCAACCGGGAUUGCCUCAGUAGCGGCGAGUGAAGCGGCAAGAGCUCAAAUUUGAAAUCUAGCGCCUUCGGUGCUCGAGUUGUAAUUUGUAGAGUGGAUCCUUGGGGCCGCUCCUUGCCUAUGUUCCUUGGAACAGGACGUCAUGGAGGGUGAGAACCCCGUGUGGCGAGGGGUGCGGCUCCGUGUAAGGGCUGCUCGAAGAGUCGAGUUGUUUGGGAAUGCAGCUCUAAGUGGGUGGUAAAUUCCAUCUAAAGCUAAAUACUGGCGAGAGACCGAUAGCGAACAAGUACAGUGAUGGAAAGAUGAAAAGAACUUUGAAAAGAGAGUGAAAAAGUACGUGAAAUUGUUGAAAGGGAAGGGCAUUUGAUCAGACAUGGUGUUUUGCGCCCCCUGCUCCUUGUGGGCGGGGGACUCUCGCAGCUCACUGGGCCAGCAUCAGUUUUUGCGGCCGGACAAAGCCGGAGGAAUGUGGCUUCCCUCGGGAAGUGUUAUAGCCUACGGGAACGCGGCCAGCGGGGACUGAGGAACGCGACUUUUGUCAAGGAUGCUGGCAUAAUGGUUAUAUGCCGC
rnacentral:rRNA from 1 species